UACGGGGGGGGCAAGCGUUGUUCGGAAUUACUGGGCGUAAAGGGCUCGUAGGCGGCCAACUAAGUCAGACGUGAAAUCCCUCGGCUUAACCGGGGAACUGCGUCUGAUACUGGAUGGCUUGAGACCGGGAGAGGUGAGUGGAAUUCCCAGUGUAGCGGUGAAAUGCGUAGAUAUCGUAAGGAAGACCAGUGGCGAAGGCGGGUCUCUGGACAGUUCCUGACGCUGAGGCACGAAGGCCAGGGGAGCAAACGGG
rnacentral:rRNA from 1 species